AUCUAGCUGGCAAGUCACAAAUAGGACGAAACGCGCGUCCUGGAU
rnacentral:hammerhead_ribozyme from 1 species